UUUAACUCUUUCUACCAUGUGAAGCCAAAAAAAGGGCAGGGGGUGAAGAAGCUGUAACCAGAUUAUCAGAUGGACUGGCACCUUGGUCUUGAACUUUUCAGCUUUAUGAACUCCUGGCAAGAGAGGGAUGUCUCACCUCCCAGUUCCUGGAUCAUCAGAGGGUGCUUCAUGCUUCUGCAAUACAGAAUAACAUCACACAUCUACAUUACCUCUUUCCUGGCAUAAAUUCACCAGAGAUCCUGGCACAAGUCCACCAGAGAAAUCUGUUUGCUAUUCUAAAAUAAUAUGGAUAUCAUCCCAGAAUUAAUUUCAGAGAGCAGAAUUGAGCAUAUUCGUAGAUUUUAGAGGGUCAUUUUCUCCAGCCUUUUUUUAUGGAUAAAACUUAAAGAUCUUGUUAUAAAAGUCUUCAGGGAAAAGCAAUUCUCUGAGAAAUCUCACUUCAGAAUUACCUCAUCUGAAUGCUAUCUGUUGCCAUAUGUUUCUUUGGCCUGGAUUCCAUUCAGUGAGGUACAUUCUUCUGAGAGAAACCAAGUGAAGAGCAGGGAGGAUGCCAGUCAUCAAAUGUCGAUGGCCUGUGUCAAUUCUUAUUCAGAUUUUUAAAGCGACAAGAAAUUGUCUCUUGUUUUAUUGCUUUAAAGCCACAAAGAAGGCAACAUGAUUAAGAUCUAUAAACCCUGAGUCCCUAUUUUUGCUGUGAAAAUAUUGCCUCCUUCUUUUCCUUGAAAAAGCCCAACUCUUUUCCUGCUCACAACCUAUUUUCAGUCUAAAAUACAUGUUCUGACUAAUUUUCUUAUGUUCAUAUCAUGUUUCAUGACUUCUUUGCUUCUCAUUACCUCAUGGGGAUUGGACCUUGUUGUGAAAACUGAAAAUAUUUUUUUAAAAAAAUAUAACAUGUGGGACACCAUAGUCUCUGACCAGUAGUGUGUAUCCACUGUGGAAAGACCAUGAAAGAGAUGGGGUGGGGGGAGAACAUAAACUAAAACAAUGGGUAAAUAAACAUGCAAAGUCUUCACCUUUACCUGAAAACAAACUGAUGGUGGAGAAAUUUAAAUGACAAAGGUUUCAUACCUGCAAUGUUACAAUCCAAUUCAUACAAUUCAUAAAAAUGGAUUUAUGGA